rnacentral:rRNA from 1 species
GUCUUUUUGAGUUAUUUUUAAAGUCUGACCUGCCCACUGAAUAUUUAAAUGGCCGCAGUAUUUUAACUGUGCAAAGGUAGCAUAAUCAUUAGUCUUUUAAUUGGAGGCUGGUAUGAACGGUUGGACGAGGUAAAAUCUGUUUCAUAUAUAUUUAUAUUAGAAUUUUAUAUUUUAGUUAAAAAGCUAAAAUAAUUUUAAAAGACGAGAAGACCCUAUAAAUCUUUAUAUUUUAUGUAAUUUAAAUUUUUUGGAUUUAUUUUAUUUUUAUAAUUUAAAAUAUUUUGUUGGGGUGAUAUUAAAAUUUAAUAAACUUUUAUUUAUUUAAAUUCAUUAAUUUAUGAAUUGUUGAUCCAUUAUUAGUGAUUAUAAGAUUAAGUUACUUUAGGGAUAACAGCGUAAUUUUUUUGGAGAGUUCUUAUCGAUAAAAAAGUUUGCGACCUCGAUGUUGGAUUAAGAGAUAUAUUUAGGUGUAGCUGCUUAAAUGUUAAGUCUGUUCGACUUUUAAAUUCUU